CUAACAUUGCUGGGGUGCCACGCGGCUGAGAUUAUACCCAUUGAACCUGAUCUAAUUAGGAUUAGCGCAGGGAGCAGUGCAUUAGCCAAG
rnacentral:ncRNA from 2 species